rnacentral:rRNA from 1 species
GAUGAACGCUGACAGAAUGCUUAACACAUGCAAGUCUUUGGCGAAGCUGUGCUUGCACCGCCUAGCCAAGGCGGACGGGUGAGUAACGCGUAAGGAACUUGCCCUGCAGUCAGGGAUAACAGACGGAAACGACUGAUAAGACCUGGUAAAGUCAGGCGGACUCAUGUCUAGCCUGAUGAAAAGAGAUGCUGCAGGAGAGCCUUGCGUCCUAUUAGCUUGUUGGUGGGGUAACGGCCCACCAAGGCGAUGAUAGGUAGCCGGCCUGAGAGGGUGGACGGCCACAAGGGGACUGAGAUACGGCCCUUACUCCUACGGGAGGAAGCAGUGGGGAAUAAUGGACAAAGGGGGCAACCCUGAUGCAGGAAUUCUGUGUGCACGAUGAAGGUUUUCGGAGUGUAAAGUGCUUUCAGCAGGGAAGAAAAAAAUGACGGUACCUGCAGAAGAAGCGACGGCUAAAUACGUG